UACGAAGGGUGCAAGCGUUACUCGGAAUUACUGGGCGUAAAGCGUGCGUAGGUGGUUUUUUAAGUCCGUUGUGAAAGCCCUGGGCUCAACCUGGGAAUGGCAGUGGAUACUGGAAAGCUAGAGUGCGGUAGAGGGUAGUGGAAUUCCCGGUGUAGCAGUGAAAUGCGUAGAGAUCGGGAGGAACACCAAUGGCGAAGGCGGCUACCUGGACAAUUGCUGACGCUCAGGCACGAAAGCGUGGGGGGCAAAAGGG
rnacentral:rRNA from 1 species